UCAUUUUUUACUUUGCAUACAUUGGAUAUAAACAACAUCUGAUGACCUGGUACUUUUAAAUAUCAAUUUACAAUAUCUAUACAAUUGAAGGUUUAAUACAGGAUCUACAGAAUGCAAAUGUAGUAACUAACAACGAAUCUUAGAAAAAAAAUUCCCAAAACAACUGUACUGUCAAAAUUAUAUACGUAAAAAAAAUAUUGAAUAUAGUAUCAUCAAUGGUUUGAGUGUAUAAUAUGCACACAGCUGUCAAAAAAAAUAAAAAUAUAAUGUAUUAGUCAGUAGUUCGUUUACGUAUAUUACUGGAU